CCGUCACACCAUGGGAGUUGGCCACGCCCGAAGUCGUUACUCUAACCUUUCGAGGAGGAGGGCGCCGAAGGCAGGGCUGAUGACUGGGGUGAAGUCGUAACAAGGUAGCCGUACCGGAAGGUGUGGCUGGAUCACCUCCUUUUAGGGAGACCUACCCUUGAUUACUCCGAACCAGUGGUAUUAGGAGGAUUGAGUGGUCACUCUAGGUCGGUCAGGGCUUUGAGUUUAGUUUCUAGACUAUGUCGAGGUUAAGACACGGUAGUAAGACGCGGGCUAUUAGCUCAGGUGGUUAGAGCGCACCCCUGAUAAGGGUGAGGUCCCUGGUUCGAGUCCAGGAUGGCCCACUAGCGUGGGGGUAUAGCUCAGCUGGUAGAGCGCCUGCUUUGCAAGCAGGAUGUCAGCGGUUCGAGUCCGCUUACCUCCACUGCGAGGGAAAGUUUCAGCACGGUAUUGCUUAGUGAUUGCUAAGGGAUAGUCUGCUGAGAUUAGACUCAGCGAGCACCUUGAAAACUGCAUAGUAAGAGAAGUGUAAGGUAGUACACACAGAACAUUCAGAGUCUGAGAGCGAAAGAGCGCGUUUAAUGAGCUGAUAGGUUAGUG
rnacentral:misc_RNA from 1 species